AUUCCCAAACUAGCACUCAAAGUCAAAAGUCACAAAAAUAGCACUCAAGGGGUGGGGUUUAGGAUUUAGAAUUUAGGGUUUAGGAUUUAGAGUUUAGGUUUUAGGGUUUAGAGUUGAGAAUUGAGGUUUUGGGGAUAAGAUUUCAAAUUUGAAAAAUAAAAAAAAUUAAAUUUUUCAAAAGAUAAAAUGUUAUUUUGGUCAUUUUAGUUU
rnacentral:lncRNA from 1 species